GGGUUUCACUGGUCAGACUGGAGAGGGCGAGGGUGGACUAGCACAAACCUCCAUCCGAGGAGCGGGCAGUGGGGCGGGGGCGGGCGGGAAGGAGACGGGGAAAAUUGGAUCAAAACAGCGGUCGCCGGGUCCCCAGACCUCCAGGACCCUCCGCAGCAGCAGAGGGGGUUAGGGACGCAGGCUGCAGGGGAGGGGGCCCGGGAGAGGAGGCGGGGAAGGCACCCUCGGCGCUCGCGCCCCCGUCGCCUCCCGUGCACAGGUCAGGCCUCCCCCCCCCCCGCCCUCUCACCCUCCCAACCUUAUUUAGAAACCGUGUCCCCGAGACAGGAAGGGCGGCGGGCCGAGAAGCACGGAGCGUCCCGGUCUCAUUUCCUUUCGAAUCCCCCUGUGGAAUUUCAUUUCAUACGGCGAGGAAAUCGGAGCGCGAGCCCGUCGGCUGGUCGGCUGCUCGGGGCGCCUCCCCCUCGCGGCGGGAGCCGGGCGGCUCGGGGCGCAGGUCGGGCCGGGCCUGGGGGCGGGGGCGGGGGGGGGGGGGCGGGGGCGGGGGCGGGCGGCUCCGACCCGAGCGAGCUCGCGGGCCAGCAGCCGCGGGGGGCGCCGUCCCGGGCUCGGGGCUCGGGGCUCGGGGCUCGGGGCUCGGGGCUCGGCGGCGCACGCACCGCCUCGGACCCUCCCGUCUCUUUACGGACGAGGAAACCGACGCCGAGAGGCCGAGCAGCGCUCAGGGCCACACAGCCAGGAUUUAAAGCCACAGCCUGGCGCACCUCGACCCCGGGUCCUUUGUGUGCCUUUCUCGGCCUGCCAGGUGCGGAGCCGCGGGCCGAGGUGACAGCCGAAGAGGGGAAGGAAGGGGAGCCGACGGCUCCGGGCGCGCUUCUCACCUGGGGGCGCUGGCCCGGCGCGAGCGGCGCGGCUGCACCCCCGCCCGGCCCCCGAGCGCCGCGCCCGGGGGAGGAAAGUGGGAGCCGCGCAGCCGGGCGGGGCGCUCCGGGCGGGCGGGGGGCGGGGGCGGGCGGGGCGGGGGGCGGGGGCGGGGGCGGGGCCUGGCCCUCCCGGCGGCGGAGCGGCCCGCCCCCCGCCGCCCGCGGCGCCCGGCCAUUGGCGGGCUGCGCCGUCCGUCCCGCCCCGCCGCCGCCCGGCGGACCUCCAGCGCCGCCCAGGGCUCGGGCGGCGAGAGCGGCGCGGCGCUGGGUGCUGGCGGGAUCCGCCGGGACGCGGAGCGGACGCGGCCGGCGCCGGCUUGGGGGCUCGCCGCCUGCAGCAUGA
rnacentral:lncRNA from 1 species